AUUGAACGCUGGCGGCAGGCCUAACACAUGCAAGUCGAACGGUAACAGGAAGAAGCUUGCUUCUUUGCUGACGAGUGGCGGACGGGUGAGUAAUGUCUGGGAAACUGCCUGAUGGAGGGGGAUAACAACUGGAAACGGUAGCUAAUACCGCAUAACGUCGCAAGACCAAAGAGGGGGACCUUCGGGCCCCUUGCCAUCGGAUGUGCCCCGAUGGGGUUAGCUAGUGGGUGGGGUAAAGGCUCACCCAGGCGACGAUCCCUAGCUGGUCUGAGAGGAUGACCAGCCACACUGGAACUGAGACACGGUCCAGACUCCUACGGGAGGCAGCAGUGGGGAAUAUUGCACAAUGGGCGCAAGCCUGAUGCAGCCAUGCCGCGUGUAUGAAGAAGGCCUUCGGGUUGUAAAGUACUUUCAGCGGGGAGGAAGGGAGUAAAGUUAAUACCUUUGCUCAUUGACGUUACCCGCAGAAGAAGCACCGGCUAACUCCGUG
rnacentral:rRNA from 1 species